GCUUCAUGAAUACAAUAUAAAGUAUCUUCCUGCCCAGUGAUAUUUAAACGGCCGCGGUAUCCUAACCGUGCAAAGGUAGCAUAAUAACUUGUCCAUUAAUUGUGGACUAGAAUGAACGGAAUAACAAAAUAAGUACUGUUUCAGUAUUACCAAUAAAAACUAAUAUUUAAGUGAAGAAGCUUAAAUAAAAUAAAAGGACAAGAAGACCCUAUAGAGCUUUAUUAAACGCUAUCAAUGAAACGCUAUAAUUCGGUUGGGGCGACCUAGGAAAAAUCAUCCUUUAAACAAAAGAUUAACAAAUCAACAUAAUGACCCUUAUUAAAGAUUAAAGAACCAAGCUACCUUAGGGAUAACAGGCUAAUCCUAUUAAAGAGCCCGUAUCGACAAUAGGGAUUGGCACCUCGAUGUUGGCUUAGAAAAUCUAUAUGGCGCAGAAGUCAUAUAAAGAAGGUUUGUUCAACCUAUAAUAUUC
rnacentral:rRNA from 1 species